CCUACGGGAGUCAGCAGUGAGGAAUAUUGGUCAAUGGACGGGAGGCUGAACCAGCCAAGUCGCGUGAGGGAAGACGGCCCUACGGGUUGUAAACCUCUUUUGUCUGGGAGCAAGGUGCAGGUCGGGACCUGCUGUGAAAGUACCUGAAGAAAAAGCAUCGGCUAACUCCGUGCCAGCAGCCGCGGUAAUACGGAGAAUGCGAGCGUUAUCCGGAUUUAUUGGGUUUAAAGGGUGCUCAGGCGGAUGCACAAGUCAGCGGUAAAAUCGCGGGGCUCAACCCCGCAACGCCGUUGAAACUGUGAGCCUUGAGUGCGCGAAGGGUAGGCGGAAUGCGUGGUGUAGCGGUGAAAUGCAUAGAUAGCACGCAGAACUCCGAUCGCGAAGGCAGCCUACUGGCGCGCAACUGACGCUCAUGCUCGAAAGCGUGGGUAUCGAACAGGAUUAGAUACCCGGGUAGUC
rnacentral:rRNA from 1 species